rnacentral:lncRNA from 1 species
GUAAGUGUCCUGGGAAGGCCAUUGCCAGGGUAGAGACUGUCUGCUUCCUGGAACAACAUGGACGUCUAGAGUGUUAGCAUAAGAGUGUUGUUAAUAUCUUGAGGCUCUGAGCCCAACAAGCAUUUUUGCCUCUGCUGUGUAUCCUCAGAACACAGCUGGUGGCUUCCCCUUAAGCCUGGUGAUGCAGAACCAUUGGCAUGUCAUUGAGUGUUUCUGCUUGGGUCUGAGUCUAUUAUAGUCACAUGAACAAAAUGAAUGGUGCAUUUCAGCCCCAACAGCAGACCUGGUAUUUGAAGUAUUCAUGUCAUCUUAACGAGACUCUUCUAACCACAAACCACAGCUAGGUGGGGACACAUUCUGAGUAGCACAGUCCCCAAAGAGUUAGACAAAGUGAGAGCCCAAAAUGUGCCUGGUUGACAGACUAGUAUUUGGGCUGAGCUAUUGAGUAUGGUGAAGAUAUUGAAGGUAAAGACUACUGGCUCCAGACUAAAGCCCUUUGAUUUUUCACCAUGUACCAAUCAGUGGCAGGGGGUGAGAGUGCAAGUAUUCUGUCAUAUAUAGGAGUGUUUCUUGAAGUGGUCUUUCCAAUCCCAUUCAUUCAGUCUACCUGUUUUUGUUUGUUCUUCGUUGCUCUGAUAAACACCAUGAUUAAAAGCAACAUGUGAAGGAAAGGAUUUCUUUUGUCUUACUGUUUAUACUCCAUCAUGAAGACAAAAGGGGCAGGAACCUGGAGGCAGGAAUCCAAGCAGAGCCAUAGAGGAGUGCUGCUUACUGGCUUGCUCUUCAUGUCUUGCUCAACAUGCUUGUUUGUAUAGCCCAGGACCACUGUCUGGGGUCACACUCUCCACAUUGGGCUUGCCCCUCCCAUGUCAAUCAUUAAUCAAGAAAAUGCCUGACAGACUACUUGGCUACUGGAAGAGGUUCCCUCUUCCCAGACAAUUCUAGGUUGUAUAGAGUUGACAAAAAGCUAACCAGCCCACAUUGCAUCAUCCCUGAUGCACUGUCAGUAGACAUAUGUGGCAGGAAGCAGAGAGACACAGACUUUCCCCUAUAGCUUUGUAGGUAGGGUCUUUCUUUAUACAGACACGCUUGCAGACCAUUGUGUACCUUGCCUAGAACCAAGUUGUCUUGUUCCUAUGGGACUUCCCAGCUGGCAGGCCUUGGUUCAUGCUUUAUUUGCAUGUAAAAUUAAAAUAUACAAAAUAGAUAAAUUUUGUUGAGACAUCUGAUUCUAGCGACUUAGAUACUGUAUUUCCUUUGAAAUUAGUUUGGGAGGACAAUGGGACAUUUUCAGUGGCCUGCCCAUCUUUGAAGCUGUUUUCCUAGCUUCUGCUAAGGAAAUGUCUCCAACACUUUAUAAUUUAUGGAAACGUAGUAUGAAUGUGAAGUACUUUAUAUUAGACAUGGAUGUCUGCUGCAGUUAUAGAAUUUGGGGAAAAGGUUAGAAGAACCAGAAUUCUUCCUUUAAAACAGCAGAAUUAAUGCUCUGAAAAGCAAUGAUUGAUUUUCAAGAACAUAUAGAAGAACUUUGAAACUGCAAACUAGAAUGUACUCUUAGCUGUAUUUCCAAACACUUAUACAUACCGAGCUUCGAUGAGGUUUCUAAUAGAUCCUUAGUACUUUUUCUCUUCAACACAAUUUAUACUGCUUUUACGAAUAAUUGGAAAACACUAAUUUAAAAUUUUCUAUGUGCAGUGAUGCUUACUUCUCAUCCAUAAUUGACCACAGUAUCGAUCCAUAUAGGUAUGCAACUUUAAAUCAAUACCCAGGUUGCUGGUAGUGACCCACAGAUGUGCACAAAGCAGCAGUGGGUUUGAGUUCCCACGCAUCUAUGCUCUGGCUGACACUGGAUAGAUGAAGCUCUGCCCCUGUGUUCUAGCUCCCUUCUUCCUUUGUAGCCCUAGCUGUGCUGGGACUCACUCUGUAGUCCAGGCUGGUCUCGAACUCACAGAGAUACCCUUCCUUCUGCCUCCUCAGUGCUGGGAUUAAAGGCAUGCACCACCACUGCCUGGCCUCUAGCUCCCUGCUUAAAUAAUGUGUCCCACAAUGAUGUGGGGAUUGUUUUUGUCUUUUACAUUUUUUGUGACUGGGGGGGCAGGGCAUUUCCAUGUAGUGCCCUUGAGUAUAAGAAGGCAAUGUGUCUUAACAGAGGAAACACGUUAGAGAAGGUGUUGACCAGUUUUAAUGUCAGUGAUUUUAAAUUAAAUUAAAAUGUCUAAUAUUCAGAGAGAGGCAUGCAUAGAGUAACAUCUUUGGUCAUUUGAAACAUAAUAGAAGAUUUUAGAAACCUGCUCUUUCUUAAAAGCAGUAGUUCAGUAUUUGCUAAUUCAGUCUUGUUAGGGACAUUAUAGGAUAUAAAACUUAAAAAUAAAGAUUGAAUAUAUAUAUACUAUGUAUAUAGUAAAUUAUAUAUGAAGAAUCCUAAUUUUAUAUAUAUAUAUAGUUUUGUUUGGCUCCUUUUUCCACCUCUUGUUGCAUAUGCUGGCCUUUCAGGGCAAAAGAAGAGUCUUGAAGGAGAUACUCCCUUCCCCCAUGACGUUCACAUUUUUCUACACACACACACACACACACACACACACACACACACACGCCACUACCAAAGCUCCUCUUUGCCCCAGCUCUCUGCUGUAGAACUUAACCAAGGGUGUGAGGGCGUGUGGAAUGGCAUAGAUGCCGGGGUGUCCUAAAAGCUUCUUAGAGGGAGGCUGGAGGAGGACUCAGUGGUUAAGCGUACUGGACGCCCUUCCAGAGGACCCAGUUUCAAGUCCCAGUACCCAUUAUAAUGUCUGUAACCCAUAGACUGUCUGUAACUCCAGUACCAGGAACCCAACACUUUCUUCUGGCCAUGUGCUUACACGUGGUGCACAGAGAUAUAUUGAGGUAAACACACACAUAAAAACUAAAACACAAAUCUC